rnacentral:rRNA from 1 species
UACGUAGGCAGCAAGCGUUGCUCGGAGUUACUGGGCGUAAAGGGUGCGUAGGCGGUUGUUUAAGUUUGGUGUGAAAUCUCCCGGCUCAACUGGGAGGGUGCGCCGAAUACUGAAUGACUAGAGUGCGGGAGAGGAGAGUGGAAUUCCUGGUGUAGCGGUGAAAUGCGUAGAUAUCAGGAGGAACACCGGUGGUGUAGACGGCUCUCUGGACCGUAACUGACGCUGAGGCACGAAAGCGUGGGUAGCAAACAGG